UUUUGUUACUUUGAGUAAAUUAGAGUGUUCAAAGCAAACAGUUAAAGCAUUUUACUGCGUUUGAAUACUACAGCAUGGAAUAACAAAAUUGAACAAGUCAAAACUCUGUUCCUUUUUCUUAUUUUGGCUUAGUUACGAUUAAUAGGAGUAGCUUGGGGGCAUUUGUAUUCAGAUGUCAGAGGUGAAAUUCUUAGAUUUUCUGGAGACAAACAACUGCGAAAGCAUUUGCCUAAAAUACUUCCAUUAAUCAAGAACGAAAGUUAAGGGAGUGAAGACGAUCAGAUACCGUCGUAAUCUUAACCAUAAACUAUGCCGACUAGGUUUUGGAUGAAAGAUUUUUAAAUAAGAAAAUUCCUUUUGGAAAUUUCUUAGAUUGCUUCCUUCAGUACCUUAUGAGAAAUCAAAGUCUUUGGGUUCUGGGGCGAGUAUUCGCGCAAGCGAGAAAGUUAAAAGAAUUGACGGAAGGGCACCACCAGGCGUGGAGCUUGCGGCUUAAUUUGACUCAACACGGGGAAACUCACUAGUUUAAGACAAGAGUAGGAUUGACAGAUUAAUAGCUCUUUCUUGAUUUCUUGGAUGGUGAUGCAUGGCCGUUUUUAGUUCGUGAAUAUGAUUUGUCUGGUUAAUUCCGAUAACGAACGAGAUCUUAACCUGCUAAUUAGCGGCGAAUACGUUAUAUUCCUACUUGAAAUUGAAUAUAGCUGAAUUUGCUUAUUUUGAAGAA
rnacentral:rRNA from 1 species